rnacentral:lncRNA from 1 species
GGUGGACGUAGCCUCACGGUGCAGCAGGUGAAACAGUGCGUGUUUGUAGUUUCAUGUUUGUAGUCUACAACACUGAGAAGUUUGUGAACCACAGUAGACUGUCAGCAGGGAUUAGGACGCCCAGGAAAAAGAAGUGCAUGAAUAUGAUGUGAAGUGCAUGUUGAGUCACAGUCUUAGUUUUCCUCCUAGUAUGGACUUUAUCUAACUAUCCAGCACCACUUGUGUGACCUGCUUGGCUGCAUAGCUUUGACUGUAAGUAUUUGGCUUCUUCUUUAUACGAAUGUGUUGUGUAUACUCAUCUUAAAGGAAUAUUCUGGGGUAAAAUUACAUUAGGGUCAAAAACACCAUAACACCAAGUUAGACACCCCCUUGAGAGAUGAAUGUUGCCGACCACUUGCUUCUCUAGUUAUACCAACUUUAGAAACGACUGCUGGAUAGCAAUGCACAGCGGUCUGAGGAGCCAUAAACAAACCUCAACCAAAAAGCCACUCUAUAGUCACAAAUAAUGCUCAGAACAGCACCUAACUUUAAAACCUAACACCAGAAAGCCUUUACUUUUAGAAAGUAACUGUGUGUCAUUUUGAGACUUGUGAAUUAGGCUACUCCUAAAGUUUUGGUGAACUUUUUCAGUUUUGGAUGUUUGAAUUUUCUCCAAUAGGCUGCAACUUGAGUCAAAAGAGAAAAUGUUUAAACAAAAACAACACAGUUAAAUGCGCAGUAAACAGGAGAUUUAAAUUGGCUGUGGAAGUACAGAAAUACAAUCUGGUGCCUUUGUAAGACCUCCAAGAAGUAAGCUACCAAUGCUUGGAAAGUUUUCUACCUCUCUGAUAACUUUGAUGCCUGGAGGAGCUGCCACAGAGUGGCAUGGUUAGAAUGAUAAACAGCAUGAGAAAGGCAAAAAGCCUUUGUUUAGGUUUUUGACAGAAACUUUGCUUGUAGAAAGGGUGGUUCAAUAUCAAUCAAUCAAUCAAUUAAUCUUCAUGUAAAAUAUAAUAGUAUAAUUUUUGAUAGAAUUAUAAUCUGUAAUCUGAAAUGUGCCACGAGUAUGUUUAAAAAAAAACUGAACUUUUGCAUUGGAUUUCAGACUGUAUGACUGUGUUCUUGCAGAGCUAACAGGCUGAAGAUUUUUCCCACAAUUCAGUUGCCCAUUUGAUUGUCUGGUGCGAUCCUGUGAUGGAAAAGUAGUGGAAAACACCUCACAGCUACUUAUGGAGGCUAUCCCAGUAAAGUUAUACUGUAAAACAUUUUAUGAACAUAAUUUUCCAAUUUAUCAGUUUGAAAUUAGAUACAGUCAGAUUAGUUAGUUAAUGAGUCAAAUUGGCCAUGGGUGGAAUCUGUGAUUUUAUAUAUCCAUACAGAAAUAUGCGUCCAUACAUUGGAGACAAGAGGCGUCUUCCAUUUAUUGGAUGUACAUAAAUGGAAAUGAGGUAUCAGGGUUUGCACUAAACCUGCAGUUUGAAAUGGGCUCUAGAUCUGCACUAUAUAGUAUUACUAUUUACAUAAAUCUAUCAUGAGCAACACUGGCAACUUACAGCGAUAAGGAUAACUCAUAUUGAACAGGCAGAAACCUCGAACAAAACCAGACUUGAGUUAAACAGCCUUCUGCUGGGACUAUAUUUGAUAAAGAUCGAGGUAGAGACGGACGGUCAAUAAAACACACACUAACAAAUGCAUGAAGUCAAUUCACAGCAUUUAUCACUGAUACAGAUUAGACAUGAAUCUCCAGUGGAAUGAAAAUGUUCUUUUGGAUACACUCAGUGAAGCAGCUCCAUCCCUCUCCCAAACUCCUCCAUCUACUCCUUUCAUCUCAUUACUCUAUUUCCCUCCUCUUCUGUCUUUCCUGUCCACCCCUCAUGGACCUCCUCCCCCCUUGCAGUCAUGACUAUAUCUGCUUUUCAAACCCCUAUACAUCUCUUUCAGCUUUUGUCUGUAAAUCCUUAUUGCAUUAUUCCCUGCUCUCCCUUCUUCUGUUCUGACUCUGUCUCUCGGCCAUCUCAUAUCCCUGUCUCUCCCUGUUUGGAUUCUGCAGCAUAAGGCAUGAAACUCUCCUCUGCCCCCUUCAUUCCUCUCCUCCCUCUUCAAGCCUUCCCUUUCCCUGGCUGUCCAAUCUCAAAUCCCUCUUGCCGCCUGCCUUUCGUCUCUCUCCCUCUCUCUCUCCCUGUCCUCUUUCCCCAGCCAGAGGUUAAUACACUCCAGGAUGGCAUUAUUUCCUCCCCGGCCCUCUGACAAUAUAAAAAUUCAGAAUGGACAGCUCAAUCCCUCUUCCAUCUCAGAUUUGAUUGUAAUGGUAUUGCCUCCUGUCCCUGGGAGGCCCCUGCCGCCUCGCCACCUCGGCCUUUAUGACACUAAAUGGCCAGGCUACAAUUUUUCCAUCUAUUCAAAAAAUUCUGUUAAUAACUCAUUUGGAAUGAGACGUCUGCGGCCAGGUCUCUCACCCCUCUGCUUAUAGGGGUCACAAUAUACAGAGAAAGAUGCAGGGCUGAAUCGCAAAUGUAAAAGGCUAAUUAAUCUCCCUGAAUUUACAAUCCCUUUUCCCCCCAUUCCCUUUGCACUCCAAUUGACAGUCCCAAAGAGACAAAAAUGUCAUAUUUACAACCUGGCAUGGAGAAAGUGCUCAGCAAUGCACAGCAGUGUGAGCGCGAGCCGGUCUGACCACUUUCUCUGCUCCACCGUCCAACUUUACAAGUGUACCCAUUCAUCACGGCUGAUGGAUUUAUGUAAUAAAACCCAUUUCCUUCUCCCAUACGAUCCUAUUAAAUAAUAAAAUAAUUAUUUAUUGAUUAUUCAAAAAGGUACAUAUGCGCGGGUAAUGGCUUUGUAUCACACCACUGGACCCGCAAUAAAUAAAGAAGGCAGAGGGAAGGCUGGAGCGCGACAGAGAGGAAUAAAGCAGGGAGAGGGAGAGGGUGGGAGAGAGAAGAGGGGAGAAAUGAAGGGGAAUGAAAUGACUUUUGAACCAGUGAAAUCUGGAUCCAAUAUGGCCUCUUGCAGAGCGGAUCAGGAAGGACAUUAUUCAAUCUUCAGGAGGCUCAUAUGGGAGCGCGACCUAUGAAUGGUUUUGAUAUACUAUAUGGACCGUAGAAAUUAAAAUAGACAACUGAAUGAGUGCUUAAGUGGAGCUUUUAGUCUAAUCUUUUCAAAUGUGCUGAGCUAGAAAUAGACAACAAUAUCUAUUUUUGACAGAGUAGUUUUUAUGUCUGUUAGAUAGGGUCAAAAUCUGCUGUUGAGUUUGGAGAGUCAGCCAAGAAAAUACCUCUUAAACAUUAUCGCAUAAUAUGACUUAUUAAAAGAUUUUUGCCCGCUAUUCCCUCCUUACUUUACCCCACUCAGGAAAGACCAUUAAUACUGAAUUUAAACAUUUACAGAGAUUGAAAGUGUUUGUGUUGGAGCUUUUUGUAGAGCAAGGCUUUUGGGUGUUUAGCAAACUGACCAGGAAGGUAAAAGUGAUCGCUGUUUUUCUUUUUAACUGUUUUUCUAAAAGACACAGCUCCACACAUAUGUAAACACCCACUCCCUUUUAGUAAUCCUUCAUAUUAUUUAUUCAACUUCAGUAUCGGAAGACGCCCCCUAUCCCCAGCAGUGAAUCAUUAUAAAAGAAGACACUUUAAUGUCAGCCAGAUAUUACAUUGGGGGCUUCUUAAUAAGCCAUUUGUGUUUGGACUAUCCUGGGCUAAAGUGCACCCGCUCUCCGUUGUCUUUUUCCUGGGCUUGUCUCAAGCCUCCUGCAUGCUACGAAAAACAGAUGCUAUCUCAGCUAUAUUACUUCUCAAAGCGCUCAUAUCCUCUCCCAUGUUAUUUUCUUUGAUCUGCUAGGCUCUCUGCUCUUACAUUUUUCUUUCCCCCCUCGUCUCACGCCCUCCUCCUCCUCCUCCACCUCCACCCCAAUCCCUCCACCCCCAUCCUCCAUGCUUCAUCCUCUAUCCUCUUUGCCAGUGACCAGAGACACAGCAGCCAGACUGGCUUGGGUUGGCUGUGGACGUUUGAAAUUCACUUCAUCUGUUCCCUGUCAUCAGAGGGCACAGGGUGCACGGUGGGUUGGACUUUUUAGAUUCUCCAUUUAAUAUGCCUUGACCAUCAGAGGAGGCUUCAGAGGAGGGCUCAUAUCAGGGCCGGGGUCAUUUCACAUCCAGUGAACAGGCCGUUUAAAUCAGCGACUUAAGCUGCAGCCUUCAUACUAAACACUUUUUUACUUAUUGACAGCAGUUCUUGCAUAAGCUCUUAAUUAUAAGUGAGUCAAUCCUGGGCUAUGUGCUUUAUUUAAACAAUGAAAAAAGUUUAUUUACAUCAGUUAAUCAAAUUAAAGCAUUUGUUUUUAGAACUCUGGUGGUUUCAGGAGUUUUUGUGAAAUACUAGGGCUUUUAAUUGUUUUUUUUUUUCACAUUUCUGAUUAAUUACAGAACUAAAGUAGUUUAUGUCGAUUAUUUGCAUUUUUAAAACUGCAUUGUCAUGCGUUUAAAUAGAGUUUCUAAACUGCACACCAUUUAAAAAUAAAGUUUUUAAUCUGACACAUGCAAUAGGAUGUAUUUAGUGAUUUUGACUUACAGAUUUAAUAUUUAAAAAUGUAAAAUUAGUGUUAAUGUGAUUUGCAGUUUAACUCUGUUAAUAAUAAUAUAACUGUCAUUACUCUGAGUAUUAAUUAUAGCAUUUGCACUCUUUUUGGAGUGUAACUGUAUUUACUCUCUUUGUUUCUUUUAUCCCCAUGUCUGUGGUGACUCACGCUCUCAUAUAAAAUGCUCUUUUGUGAUAUCAGUUAGCAUGGUUGCACCUGUAUGCUUAGCUCCUAUUGGCAGGGGGCUCAGACUGGGAGCUUUAAGUCAAUUGUUGUGAUAGUUAAAUUCCAUAUAACUCAAAGGACUUCAGACUCUACUGAGCUGGUUCUUUUAAGUGAAAUGGGUCAUUCAAAAGCACAGUGGUGUUGUGCAGCAGAAAGAUGUUUUGGUGGCCGAAUAAAGUGAAUAAAAAUAUCAACAUACUAAGUAAUUGCAUCAUGAUCAACUAGUAUGUUAAUGCUGACAGCCCUAAAGAUAUAAAAAUCUAAUGGCUCCAUAGAGUUAGUUAGCUUAAGUCAAAUGAUGGUCAAUUACAUUUUUAAAACUGUUUUCUUGUUUGUUUGAAAUUCUAAAGUAAUAAACAAUCAGAAACACAACACAGCAGCCUUUUAAUGCCUUUACCCUCAAUCACCCCAUCUCCCUCUAUGCUUAUCUGUAAGGUUAAAAAAAGUAUUUAACUCAGAAGUGUCUCUGACUGCAUGAGAACUCAGUUUAUUGAAUCAUUUUUAAGAAAGUUCAGAUAAUGGAGCUUAAAGUUGAUUAAAUGUGCAUCACAGCUUUCCCUUUCUAUCAAACUUUAACAAGUAAAUACUUUUUUCCUGCAAGUUUACAGUGCAAGGCAUGAAACUCAAAUUGUCUGUCUGCUCUUUCCUUUUUUUGUGGCAGCAUAAUGGAAACAUGUCUUAACAUUUUUCAGACAUGAACAACAAAUACUGUACCCUAAGUGAUGAAUCAUAGUUUAAUAUAUGCCUCAUAACUGUCAAAAAGCCUGGCAUCAUAAAAGAAAGACACACUUGUAUUUUUUUGUGAUAGAUUACAAGUGUUCAGAUUUUUGCAGACACUGAGCAUGAGCAAAAACUGAACAAAGUUUCAUAAGAAAGACAUUUCUUGUAUGUGGAAAAAUCUAAUUUUGCAGUUUUUACUGCAUAUUUGACACACCACAGUCUUGGCCUGUAUUUGGUUCACUUUCCAUUAGAGUUAGAAGUGUCAUAGAGUACAUUAGUACAUAUAUGUCAAAAUAGGAAUCACUGCAGUGUCAAAAACAGUUCAAACUCUGCAGUGAAAUUGACUCUUUCCUCGAGGUUGUAAAGCUUUUGCAGAUUAAUUCCCAAACUCUCUCAGUUGUGUUAAACUGAUUUUCCUGCACAAAGCCAUUUAAAGCAACAUCUGUGUGGAUAGGUGGCACUUAGAAACCGGGGAGUCUUUAGCUUUCUUAUGAGCAGCCAGGAGGGGGAAGCAUCCCUCUUUGCAAGUGUGCUCACAAGAGAAGGAAAGAAAAGUAAUUAAACAAACAAUUUACAAGGAAUCGUGUGUCUGCGUAUCCAAUCCAGCGUACUCGCUUUUGCUCUAAUACAUAAAGACAGAAAUGAAAAAAAAAAAGAUUGUUUGUUGUCUCCUCAGAGUGAUGGUAAAUGACACGUGUGUUUCAUUGCCCAUUCAUUUAACCUUCAGUGUGCCUAUGAAGAGAAAGGGAUUGAGAAACAAAUUAUGUGGUGUCAUUUAAUUAGGAGUUUUGCUGUGAGCAAUAAUCCUGUAAUUUUUUUUCCUUAUAACCUUUAACUACUUAAUGGAUUUGAGAAGCUAUUACCUUUCAAGAUUUCUGUUUUUAAUUAUUUGGAGUAUUGUUAGAGAUAUGAAAUGUCAAUCAUUCACCAGGAUUAAUGCUGAGGUUUAAUAUUAUUUACUUCGGGAUUGAAGCGAGAGGUUGACAGGAUUAGGGAAAUCACUAAUUUUAAGUAUUUUACAAACAAAAAGAAAAAAAAAUCCUCUUUUUGGCUUAUUUAGCUGAAAAUCAUUUAUCCUUAUGUGCACAUUUAUAUUUAACACAACCUCAUCUUAAAUCCAUGAGAGCCAGUUAUUUACAUAGAUAUUAACAUUAAAUUUAUAUUUAUGGCAAGACACAGUAAAUCUCAGAGUAAUAUUGGAAAAAUGGCUUCCUGAAUCUGUGAUUAAAUUAUAAUAAUGACUCAUUUUUAAUAUGUACAAACUCAAUUUAUAGUUUCCUCCUUUGGCGCUUAUACUGUAGGUGUGCAGCAUAAAAAAAAUAUAUAACCCGGGAGCUGUUCAUGUGUGUGUGUGUGUGUUGCACAGUCGAGGGCUUACCUCUCACCCUGAUCACGUUUAGGCAACUCUGUGAAAGUGGCAGACAGAGUUUGUUUGGUUUCCCCUGGAGGACAUCGCAGCUCUCUGCCAGCAGACCAACCCACGUGCGGUGACAUCAGGCCCGCCUGUGUGGAUACAAAUGUCUCCUUAAAUACAUGAUCCAUGUGAGGUGCGCUUGAUUUAUUUUGCCAGACACUCACAGGACCAUGAGGGCCAUGCGUGCUCAUUUUAAAUCAGUGCUUCUCACACAGGACCCUCCUGCGUACCUGGGUUCAAAUGAUAUAUUUCAUAUUCUGAAGUGGAUCAAAAAACAUUCAUCAGAAACACCUGAUGUAGCUUGUCUAGAGGGGGAUAGUUUCACCAGAGGAUCAGCAAAUGUCUUGGAGGAUAAAUGAAGCACACCCUGAGCAGUUCAAAUAUUCAAAACCUUAUUCAAAUAGAUGUUUUCACCCGGGUUUGACACGGCUCUUAGGCUGGCACAUUGGCUCCUCAGACCCCCCAUGGCACGGGGCAUGUAAUCAUCCUGAAAGUCUCUUUGGGUGUCUGCACCCUCAUAAAGCAGGAAAAUGGAUCGUGUGGCCCAGGAAGGGAAAAUGAAAGAAAAGGAGAAUGAAAUUACAGACCUGGCUGACUGCACAAAUCAUGCAUAUCAUGUUUUAUGGCUUGCCAGAAGAAUUCAACACCUGUGGAUCACCGUAGCUAUAAUUGUACACGAGUACACCGGGCUGGGAGUGGGGGCAGAGUUUGUGGUUUGUGUGUCACUGAAUAUGUGAGUGAGAGUGUGUGAGCCUCGUAGGUGUCUGUGGAUAUGCGAGUAUGUUUUUCUUGGCAUGGCCGAGCUUUAGAAACAGAGGGGAGAUGAUAAAAGAAAGUUACGGGAACGCCUGUUGUUCACUUCUCCGGUACAUCCUGGGUGAGCCACCCGCAGCCCACAGGGCGCGCUCGCAGAGGCUUCAUUUACCAUUGUAAUUACCCUGUUUAUUUACCCUACCUGCUUUUGGUGGUAAAACGGGGGCCAAUUCAUCAGAUUAGGACAAUUUGGCCUUGCUUUGGCUUUGCCAUUUACUUUAAUUAAAUGAGGCAAUCAGUGAAACAUAAAUCAAGAUCUGUGUGACCACUGGCUUUGUUUGAACCUGGACCUCUUUUACAAAGCUGACACACCCUCUGUUCAAACUUACAUUAGAUACAGCUGCUCUGCAGCUCCUCAGUAUGCAGAUUUACCUUUAAAAAAAGUGCAUUUGGGAUUUUUUUCAUGCAAACAUACUUUUUUAAAAAUCCUGUGCAUGUAUCGUUGAACUUAUUUCAGCUGUAAGUAUUUUUUUGACGCUUUAAAGGUAAAGUCACGUGCAUGAACGAAGGCUAAAAACUAAACGGGAUGACAGCACAGCAGAUCAAAAACUCUCCCCUCCCUCCUCUUCUCUCCUUUUUCUCCCUCCUCUCCACUGUGGAUGCUGAUGCUUGAGUCAAAUUGAUUACACCACUCCAUCUGCAUCACGACCGGCCUCCUCCUGUGUUUGCCGCCUCUGCCUACAGCACAGAGUUAGUGUACAAUUACAUAUAGUUUAAUAUAUCUGCCUGAGCACCUUUAAAUAAGCAUCACAAGUCCACAAGGUGAUUUGUCUUCCAGCCCCAUUACUCCAUUGUACAUCUUGAUAGCCAGGGAUCGCUCCUAGCUAUGUUUAAGCAUUAAAUAGUGUAUUAUUAUUUCACAUAAAUCACGCUGAGAUGUGAGGGGGGUAUUCAUAAAUUUUGCAUUUCUCACAGACAGUAUUUUAAAGCCUCUCUCCCUCUCUCUCUGCAGCUCUGAAUUUGGAGACUAAAGCAAUUCUGCUCCCUGCGCUUGAUAGUACAUUAAAGAAGGCAUAUCAGGGAGGUAUAUUCAAAACAACAUGUAAUGCAGUUUAGAUUAAGUUUGAGGCGCUCUAACACAUUCAUCAUGCACACUUUCCAUAAUAAGUACCCCUGUCUUUCUCGCUGAUGCAUCCACACACAUGCACCAUUACCACCAAGAGUACUGUAUUGUUAUUGUCAUGAAUAAUGGGGGGAAAUACUAAUAAAAGUCCAUUUAUCACAAUAUUUUCACUGCUAACUACAGCUACUGGAUCUCGUAUCUGUGCUACACGAUGCUCGGGGAAAAUUCAAUUUUAAGGUGAAUGUCUGCCAUCAGUAAGAGUGGCCCUUAACCCCUUACCCCAGCUCCCCACUCCCUCCUGAUAUUAGUCGUGUGUUUGUGCAAAACGUCUACAGAGGAAAUGACUUCACUCAGGAAACUGGAUGUCAGCUUUGCGCACGAGCGGGAGAGCUGACAGUGUUUUAGUCAGGCCGACAACACGUCCUUUUCUCGGCUCGCUCUCCACGCUCAUGGUAAAGCUGUAAAAAGUGACAAAGGAGGAAAUUGAACUUGGAGUUGUUAUGGUUACUCCAAGGACGCUUUGCAGAUUUGUUUCUAUUUCCCGUCUCCGGCUUUGUUUUCUGAUUGGUGGAGAGGUCGUCGGGUAAAACCAGGAGGUCACCGAAACUGUAAAGUGAUGUGUUUAGAGUGGAACUUUUCACUUUCUCCUGUUGCUUUUCAUUCAGACUUUGCCUGAUGUGUUUAUGUAAACUAAUAAGAGUACCUUGUGAUUGUCUGCAGUCGAAAAUAUUACCAAAACAUUACCUUGACCAUCCUGUGUUUCUUCAAGUCGAUGAAAAUCAAACCAAAAAUACAUCACUUCAAACAAUGCAAACGUCUGCUAUGAUUGACUUUAGCGAUUUCAUGCUCACAUUGCAACCGUACACCACAAUUAAACCUAAUUUUCACUUUUAAAACACGCUUAUCAUUUCCUACACAUUAUAAUUAUAUGACCCACUGGCCCGGGGGGGCUUUAGUGUUGCAGCAAAAUCAGUAAAAAAAAUCUUGUAAAAGUCCUCGCAAAUUGGAAAUUGACGAGAUGCCAGGACAGUAAGUUGAGGAUUGAGAGGAGGGGAGCGGAGGAGAAAGAAAAAAAAAUGUCUUUGAACUAGUUUUUGCUUGCAGAAAAAAAUAUCGCUCCUGGGUUGAUAUUCUUUCUGAAGUGUUUCAUGGCGAUGCGAAUUAAGAAGUAAAGUGCAGAGCCAAAUGAUUCAGUGAAUAGACGGCACACACCCACAGGUAUUCUGUUCACAUGACAUCACCCCUGUGUUAAAUUGACAACUUCAUAUUCUUUUAACUUUUUAGGUGCGAGCAAAGAAGAAUUUGAGAGAUAAAUCAACGAUAGAGAGCGGUGUUAUGGAGGACAUUUGUAUUAUGAAUGUGGAUUGAUUAAUAGUUAUUUGGUCGAUUUUUUUUCCCACUCUCUCUCUGUCUCUACCUCUCCCUUUAUUACUCAGAAGAAUGUGUCUUCUGACCUUGACAUGUGCAGGCUGGCUGCAUGUUUCCCUCACCUCAGCUCAUGAACUGGAAACUUUGCUCCUGUCAUCCCUCUAUCUCUUUCUGUCUCUGUCUUGUGAUCACUCUGCCUCCUCAGCUUACACACAGAGCGCACACAGAGCAGCAAUACCUGGGAGGAUAAAUGCUCGGUUAAAUUGAAUAAACAUAAUCCAGACAUGCUCCAUUCCUGCCUGUCUGUCAGGGAGAACUUACUCAGGGGUCCCUGAUUCCAUCAGCCGAGGAGGCGCACAAACAAACGCAAAAGAUUAGAUGUCAGCUGAAAGGCCGGUGUUAGAAAAAGGAUUAUUCACUUCUGUUGUGAUAAAGAAAAUUUUCAUCAAACAUCUGAUAAUCUGUGAUUUUACUGAGCCGGUUUUAUUGCUUCCUUUGUUAUCUUGUGAUGACAGAUAGCUUACGUUCACACAAGUGUUUCAUCUGUUUCUGUUUGCUUCUGCUCCAGAGAAAGGCAAAUACAACACAGUCAGAGCUCAAAAGUGCAAGUACAUCACCCAACUUCAGCCCUGCAUCUUUUUUUUUUUUUUUUUGGCAGCUCUCUGCGUGUUUGGCGAAUGUCUAAAAAAAUUGCAUAAACAUACAAAUUAAAGAGUAACCCCCUCCAUCUUUGUUCAUGCUCCCUGCGUUGCCAUGUCCUCUUAUGUUAAAACAAAGCAUGUGCCUGUCAAUCAUAUAACCAUAGGCGCUCUGGGUGGGGCUGGAUCGCGCUCUUUUGAAGUGAACCUGUCAUGGGAAAUCUGCAUCACUGGGGCUCACUUCAAUCACAAGCACAAGAUUAAUUGUUCGUGGUGCACCACUUCAAACACCUUUAACCAUUACGCAUUACGGGAUGAACCUUUGCAAGGCCUUUCGUCACCUAUAUAUACUCACACCUGCACCCACACACACGUUAAACAAGGAGGGUAAAUUCCUGUCUGUCUAUAAAAACACACACAUGCAGACACAUACAUCCUUAUGCUUCCUAAAACACAAAAAGUUCGCAAAUAUUUACAUACGCAGCUGCACAGAGGUAUAUUUCAAGAUGUAUAAAUUGACAAUUUAAUGUGCAUUGACAAGUUACACCCCCUCUGCCCUCCAAAUACUAACACACACAUAUACACACAAACACACAAGCAUGCAAAGACUCCACACAGACUGCAGCAACACAACAUUAAGCGGUUUUCUCUUCUCUGUUAUCUCCAGCUUCCUUUUUGCCCUUUGGUUAAACAUUCUCUUGGCAUGCAUGAUCUCAUUUAACUUUGAUUUCCUCUUUUUCCAGGACGGCAUCCUCGGUGGUUCCAAUUUCCAGCCCAUUCCCCAAUUUUCAACCCCAAUGACAGACAACACAUGCUUGAAUGGCUGUUCGGCUAAAGGAGGGAGUUGGUAAGUGAUGAUUUUAAAUGCUGUUUAAGAUAAAAAGGGGAGUUUAGAGCAGAUAAGGGUUCGUAUGAGUUAGUGAGCAGGAAGCUGGGAGAUGUUGCUGCUCUGAAUGUGCCAAUUCAGAAGCUGCUCUCCACCGAUUGUGAUUUAUGUCACUGAGCUUUAGGAAACACUGCUGCAGAUUACAGGCAGGAGAAGUGAACGUUUGACUUCUCUGAAACAGUAAUUAUUCUCAUACUGUACGCAUUUACAAAGAGCUCGUGAUUUUUUAUCCAUAAACAAUAACAAAAUAAAUGUCAAGUAAGUCUUUUGCCUUCAUUUAUCAUUCUGCAUAUUUAUACUCUUACUUUGAAGUCGUCUCACAUGACUUUUUGUACAUAAACUUUUAAUUAACUGUUUAUAUUUGUAUUGUUUUCUUAUAAUAAUAUUGUUUCUUAACAGUAGGAGUUCGGUUGUUUUCUUGUUGAGUGUUUUUGAGUUUUUCUAGGUACUUUUUUCUGAACUGAAAAUCUUAAAAGAAUUGCUUGAAUUUAAAAACUGAUUAAACACCAACUAAAACUCUGAUUCUGAUUAUUAUUUUAAUUAUAAAUAAAGUUUUUUUGUUCUUUAAACUAAACCCGUAAAAUAUAUUUAUUAAAAUCACUGUUUGUAAAUCAAAUGAAUUAAAAAAAUUCCUUGUCUUGAGUGUUUUCUAAAAACUUUUUUACUCGUCCAACAUGUUUAAAUUUUACUUUUCUAUUGGCUUUGUGAAUUAUUUAUUUUGACCUCCUUAUGCAAAAAUCAGAGUAAAUAAACAAGCUUUAGGUAAAAAAGUGUAAAAUAUAAUAAUUUCUUCAGGGCUGUUAAUUAACAUGGAAGUACUUCUGUUUUUAACUUCUAUGUUAAACAUGAUUUUGCGUAUUUAAUCUCAGGUGUCACACAUUUCCAAAGUUUUGUAUUUCUGUAGUUCUUUCUUUAAAGUUUUUCCCUUUACAACAGCUGUGUUUUCCUCUUGUAAACAUAAAUAAAGUUCCUUCUUCCUCUGUUCAAGUUCCCAAAAAUAAAACUUUGAAUCCAGAACGAUAAAAUCCAACAUUUGAGAAUCAUUAAAAAUAAUGUCUGUGGUGAUGGCAUCUGACACAAACACAAUGUUGACUUAAUUUGCUCCUGAUUAACCCCUCGACUGUGAACACUGUGUCCAGCAUGAAGGACUUUUUUGUUGUUUGGAAAAAGCCGCUCAUUGUCGGGCUUUAAGUGGUUUGUGUAAUCCGCUAUAACUAAUACCAUGAAGGCAGAGGAUUCUGAAAAUCUGUUUUCAGCACAUUUUGAGUAGGAGCGGACCUGGGAACUCUCUCUCUCUCUCUCCCCUCUCCCUCUCUCUCUCUCUAUGUCUCUCCCUCUCUCGCUCCCUAACUCUGUCAUGAAACAGAGCACCCCAUUUCCAUAUCAAUCGGAUUAGUUCCAAGACCAGGGAAGUAGGAGUAAUGUAAGUAAGCGUACAAAUUUAAAUAUAGGACAUCAAAAACAUUGUUAGGCAUUCAUUUAUUUUUGCGGCAGCCCCGGCUCUCUGUGUCUCUCUCUGUGAAGAUGAGAUGAAAAUGCAUCUCUUCAAAUUGACUUUCAUUUUCAUGUGAAAGGUGCUGAACACCGCAGUAUUUCAACAUUUCAUGUGCGCGCCACGGCGUCCCGCUGUUCUUGUGUGCUUAACCUCGUUUGUGGGAAUGAAUAUGUCACAUCAAGCAAUACACUUGUUCUGAAUGCAACAUCAAAACAAUUUCAGGUGGGCAGCGUUCACACAGGCGGCACAAACAGGCUGCAACACGCUGGACUCCUGGAUGCUCUGAUACUGAUGCCAGCUGGCAGCCAAAAGUUAUGCUUUGACAUACAAUUCAGUGCACUGCUACAUAUGUAUCAGAGGAUGUACAUGGUCUGGGAGUUUGAUGCAAUGCAUGAAAAUAAAAUGCAAAACUUCACAAACCCCUCAGUAACCAGUUAAGUUUUUCAUUUAAAUUGUUUUAUAUUGCAGAGUUUAUGAUUUAGAGUUCAAAUUUAAAACUUUUUGCUAAAUUUUACAUAUUUUCCAGAACUUGAAGGGACCACUUAAAUUAGCUUUUUUUUGCAUCAAGACUUUUUGAAUUUGUCAGGAACUUCUAUUUCAACAAAAUAAAUAAAUUGAUAAUAAAAUGCUAAUGGUACUUGUUGUGUUAGGGUCGCUGUUGACCAGGUUAGAUCAAUAUCUAAUAAUCAGAUCAAAAAUCAAAAUCAUAAGUGCACUGUCAGGCACCACACUGACAGUCAGAUCCUCUUCCAAUCAUGUGAGAUUUAGGAAAUUCUCAUUUUGCCAUGUUUCCCUGCACAAAAAGCAACGUCAGGCAUGUCCAGACAUGUAAGAUCAAUUCAGUAUAGAUGUCUGUAUGAGGGGUAUACUGACAAAGCAAAGCCCAGGGUACCACAACAAAAAUACAAGCAAUAUUAACCUAGAGAUGAGAACCAAAUUGGAUGAUAGAGAAUUGAUUUUAGUGUAAUUUACAGCUGAUUUAAGAACAUGGGUCAAAACAUUAACAUUAACAUGGUGGGUAGGUAGUAAAAGCUAAACAGGAGGAAGGUUAAAGACUUUUUUGUGUAUUUUUUUUUUGUUACAUGGGGGAAAAAAAUAGCGGGUUCAAAGUAAUUAGAAGGUAAAACAAACAUUUAGAUUUUCUGUAUUCUUAAAAUUAAACAUCAGAUUUUCUGUUCGUGUUGAAAAUUCGUUCUCUUGUGCUCCGAAAGUUUAUUUUGAAAAGCAGCUCCAGAGAUAGUGAGGUUAGUGUGUGUUUAUGUGUAUGUGUGUGUAAGUCACAGAGAGAUUAUUCAGCAGUCUGCGACUUGCUGACUGAUCUGACCAGCCUGUCCGGAUAAACAGACAGAUAGACGGAUGCCUGUCUGCGCUUCCUCAGCCCUUUAUGACUUAGCCCGUCUCACUGUAAUUGAAAAACUAGCUCCACUGUGUUGUCUUGGGAUUUUUCUCUCUAUAAUGCAGCUUCAAAACAGGAAAACCAAUAGUGGGAAUAGACCCCCGAAUGUAAUUAAUUUUGUGGGGGCGGGGGGUAAAAAGGAGGGGUGGAUAGGGGGGGAACUAUUAUUGCAGGAGGAAGAAUUCUAAUCAGUUGCAGAUUCCUUCCUGUUUGGUUAGCGUGACCGUGGCCAAUUACCAGUGAACUCUGUGUUACAGUUUCACUUCCUGUGCUACCCAGAGAACGGACUGAGGCCGGCGCUGCAGAGCUCCGGCAGGACGGAGGGAGACGCAGGAGAGAGAGAAAGAGAGAGAGAGAAAAACGACAAAGCAAGACACAAGAAGAUGAGACUUAAGGAAAGUAAACAAAGCCCAGGAAGGGGGAAGAAAAAGCAGAAGAAGGGGAGGGUGAAAUCUCGAGCCAGAUCUAAGGUGCACAGACAUAAAGGCACAUACGUUCUUUAUCCGGCUAAUAUAGAACAUGACAUGUGGUUUACAGAGGAAAUGAAAGGAUUUUGGACCUGACUUCUUGCUGGUCGAGCUGUUUUCAGGUAAAGCCUCAAACUGUGGAGCAACAGACCAAAAACUCCAGAGACAAACGCAGCAGUCCAUAACUUAAUUGUUGUUGUGAUAUUAUCGAAAGACACAAUUUGGCGUCGCUGUUUUCCCUUAAAUUGAAUUAAACCAUCCAGUUAGACAGCUGAACGACAAAUGCUGGGGAAAAGCUGGAUUUGCAUAAAGUGUGUUUUUUUUCCAGCGUGUAGAUGUAACUCAAUCUGCUAUGGUACUUCCUGUGAAAUUCUCCAUGCUUAUUACAGCAGAUUCUGCAUUUGCUAAAGGCUUUCCAAAGCGGUAGUGUACAACACAACAUUAUAACAACAUGC